UAUUUUUAGGUAAGUUUUAUGAUCAUUCCAUGCUGUUUAAGAUAUUGAGAGGUUGAAAGACUUAGAUUAUGAAGGGAGAUAGAAAGUGGGUUAAGAAGAUGAGAAUAACGAGAUUUUGAGUAGUAGCUUAGGAUGAAUCAUGAUUCUUGAUAUGUUAUGAUUAUGAUUAUGUUAUAAAUGAUAUUAAGGACAUGGGAUAAGCAUUAUAUGUGAGUAAAUAUAAUAGUGAACUAUGACCAUGAUUAUGGAGGAAUUGAAGUGAAAUUGUGAAAUUUGGAUAAUGUAGAGUGAAUGAAGAUUGUUGGUUAUAAUGUUGUGAAUGUUAUUAUAGACGUUUGGGAGUUGAUAUAUGAUAUGGGAAAGUUGUAUAAACAAAGGAAAUGCUGCCCAAUUUCCUCUAGCUUUAGUUAAACAUGUUCAUGUGAUCGAUUAGCUAACGUUAAUACGAAUUCUCUUGAAGGUAGAAACGCGAGCAUUGAAGGAGAAUGAUCAAUCGAUAGAAUAGCUAAACGAAAAGGUAUGUAAGGCUAGUCAUUUCCUUCUAAGGUAUGACUCCUAUGGCAUGAAUCUUCCUAUUUUUCCAUGAUCUUCUUAUAUAUCGGAAAUUAUGAGUGUAUGACUAUAAAGAGCUAUAUAUGUAUAAGAUAAAGAAAAGAGAUACGACACGAGCAUGAUAAUGAUGAUGAUGAGUUUAAGUAUAAAGAAUCCUAAAGUAAGAUAUGAUGUCCAUGAGGUUAAUGAUCCCAAGUAUGGUUCCAUUGAUGUUCUUCCUUGUGUACACUCACCUUAAAUGUUACUUCCUUCAAGGUGAGAUAUGAUGAAUAUAUCACUCCGUAAUGAAAUCGGGGGUUCUCGACCUUAUAUCACCCCGAUAUAAAUAUAGAUUGUCUUUAAGCUCUAAUGCAUGUUCUAUGACAAAUGUAUGAUGGUGAGAAGUUCAUGAUGAGUAUAUGAUGAUAUGAUUACACCGUGCCUAAAUGGCCGAGUUUGUCACCGCGAAGGCGGGCUGUAUACGAUUCCACCGUGCCUAAAUGGCCGGGCAUGUCACCGCUAAGGCUAGCUGCUUAUGAUUAGACCGAGCCUAGAGGGCCGGGUAUGACACCUCUAGUGGGCGGCGUAUGAUGAUUGCCCGGACGCGAGUUAACGACGAGGGUGUACGUGAUAUGAUAUAUGUGAUAUGAUGAUAUAUGUGGUUUCAUGAUUUAUGUGAUAUGAUUAAAAAUGCUCACACUUAAAAGUCAAGCAGGUUAUAUCUAUUCUUUACCUUAUGUCUUAUGAUUUCUCUAUUAUGUUCAUUUCAUUCAUGCCUUACAUACUAGGUACAAUGUUCGUACUGACAUCCUUUUUCUUUAGACGCUGUAUUCAUGCCCACAGGUAGACAGGGAGGUGAUCCAGACUUGUAGGAGCUAUUAGCAGGCCUUGAGAGCACUCUAUUGUUCCGGAGGUAGACAGGGAGGUGAUCCUGACUCGUAGGAGCUAUUAGCAGGUCUUGAGAGCACUCCAUUAUUCCGUCUGCAGACACAGGUUGGUGAUCCAUCUAGUAAGAUGUCAGCUCCGCGGUUAAGAUUGUUACACUCCAUUUACUUCGGCUAUGCCAGGGGUUAGCAUGAUUAUAUAUGCAUGGGUAUGGCAGGGCCUUGUCUCGGCCACGUUAUGUUAUGUUUUCCAGUAGAGGCUUGUAGACAGUUAUGUACUGUUAGAUAAUGUCCAGUCAUGUUGUUUCAUAUAUUGCCACAUAGAUAAUCAUGACAGCCUUGUUGGCUCAUAUAGUAUGUUCAACAUAUCCAUAUAGAUGAGUCUUUCAGACUAUUUAAUACAUACACGUUUUCCUUA